rnacentral:rRNA from 1 species
GACGAACGCUGGCGGCGUGCCUAACACAUGCAAGUCGAGCGGAGAUGAUGUGAGGAAGUUUUCGGAUGGAAUCACAUUAUUUUAGCGGCGGACGGGUGAGUAACGCGUGAGCGACCAACCUUGCACAGGGGGAUAACGGACCGAAAGGUUCACUAAUACCGCAUGAGACCACGGUGUUACAUGACACAGGGGUCAAAGGAGGAAUCCGGUGCAAGACGGGCUCGCGUCCGAUUAGGUAGUUGGAGGGGUAACGGCCCACCAAGCCUAUGAUCGGUAGCCGACCUGAGAGGGUGAUCGGCCACAUUGGAACUGAGAUACGGUCCAAACUCCUACGGGAGGCAGCAGUGGGGAAUAUUGGGCAAUGGGGGAAACCCUGACCCAGCAACGCCGCGUGAAGGAAGAAGGUUUUCGGAUUGUAAACUUCUGUCCUUGGUGAAGAGAAGAAGACGGUAGCCAAGGAGGAAGCCCCGGCUAACUACGUGCCAGCCGCCGCGGUAA